ACGGAGAACCCAAGCGUUACCCGGAAUUACUGGGCGUAAAGAGUUGCGUAGGUGGCUUAUCAAGUUUUUGUUAAAAGGCAGAAGCUCAACUUCUGUUUUGGCAAAAAAACUGGUGAGCUAGAGGAUGGUAGAGGCGAGUGGAAUUUGCAGUGUAGGAGUGAAAUCCGUAGAUAUUGCAAGGAACACCAAUGGCGAAGGCAGCUCGCUGGGCCAUUCCUGACACUGAGGCACGAAAGCGUGGGGAGCGAACCGGA
rnacentral:rRNA from 1 species